AGCAGCCGCGGUAAUUCCAGCUCCAAUAGCGUAUAUUAAAGUUGCUGCAGUUAAAAAGCUCGUAGUUGAAUUUCGGGACUAAUAUGUUGGUCGUGCCUCGGUACGUACUGAUAUUUUUGGUUUCUCCCUUCUGACGAACCUUGAUGUCAUUAAUUUGGUGUCUUGGGAAAUCAGGACUGUUACUUUGAAAAAAUUAGAGUGUUUAAAGCAGGCUCACGCUUGAAUACAUUAGCAUGGAAUAAUGAAAUAGGACGUUUGAUUCUAUUUUGUUGGUUUCUAGGAUCGACGUAAUGAUUAAUAGGGAUAGUUGGGGGCAUUAGUAUUCAAUUGUCAGAGGUGAAAUUCUUGGAUUUAUUGAAGACUAACUACUGCGAAAGCAUUUGCCAAGGAUGUUUUCAUUAAUCAAGAACGAAAGUUAGGGGAUCGAAGACGAUCAGAUACCGUCGUAGUCUUAACCAUAAACUAUGCCGACUAGGGAUCGGAUGAUGUUAAUUUUUUAAUGACUCAUUCGGCGCCUUACG
rnacentral:rRNA from 2 species